rnacentral:rRNA from 1 species
GACGAACGCUGGCGGCGUGCUUAACACAUGCCAGUCGAACGAAGAGCGAUGGAAGCUUGCUUCUAUCAAUCUUAGUGGCGAACGGGUGAGUAAUGCGUAAUCAACCUGCUCUUUAGAGAUGGCCAACAGUAGGAAACGACUACUAAUAAUACAUACGAUCUAAUCUAUGCAUCGGGGUGAGAUGAAAGUUGGCCUCUACAGGUAAGCUAUCACUGUAGGAGGGGGUUGCGUCUGUGUUGCUAGAUGGAGGGGUAACGGCGGAGCAAGGCGAUGAUCAGUAGCCGGUGUGGGAGGAUGGAGGGCGUGAUGGGGCCUAAGGCGACGCCCAGACGGCUACGGCAGGCAGCAGUGGGGGAUCUGCCGCAAUGGACGAAAGUCAGACAGGGCAGCGCCGCGUGAGUGAUGAGGGCCGUCGGGUUGUAAGGCUCUGUUAAUCGGGACGAAAGGGCUUCUGGCGAAUAGUGAGAAGGAUUGACGGUACCGGAAGAGAAAGCGACGGCUAACUACGUG